rnacentral:rRNA from 1 species
CAGUAGCCGCGGUAAUACGGAGGGGGCAAGCGUUAUCCGGAAUUAUUGGGCGUAAAGGGUACGUAGGUGGCCUUUUAAGCGUAGGGUAUAAGGCAAUGGCUCAACCAUUGUUCGCCCUAUGAACUGGAAGGCUUGAGUGCAGGAGAGGAAAGCGGAAUUCCUAGUGUAGCGGUGGAAUGCAUAGAUAUUAGGAGGAACAUCAGCGGCGAAGGCGGCUUUCUGGACUGCAACUGACACUGAGGUACGAAAGCGUGGGGGGCAAACAGGAUUAGAUACCCCAGUAGUCCCUGUCUCUUAUACU